rnacentral:rRNA from 1 species
GAUGAACGCUGGCGGCGUGCCUAAUACAUGCAAGUCGAGCGAACGGACGAGAAGCUUGCUUCUCUGAUGUUAGCGGCGGACGGGUGAGUAACACGUGGAUAACCGACCUAUAAGACUGGGAUAACUUCGGGAAACCGGAGCUAAUACCGGAUAAUAUUUUGAACCGCAUGGUUCAAAAGUGAAAGACGGUCUUGCUGUCACUUAUAGAUGGAUCCGCGCUGCAUUAGCUAGUUGGUAAGGUAACGGCUUACCAAGGCAACGAUGCAUAGCCGACCUGAGAGGGUGAUCGGCCACACUGGAACUGAGACACGGUCCAGACUCCUACGGGAGGCAGCAGUAGGGAAUCUUCCGCAAUGGGCGAAAGCCUGACGGAGCAACGCCGCGUGAGUGAUGAAGGUCUUCGGAUCGUAAAACUCUGUUAUUAGGGAAGAACAUAUGUGUAAGUAACUGUGCACAUCUUGACGGUACCUAAUCAGAAAGCCACGGCUAACUACGUG